CAAUCAAACCGGGAGAUAGCUGGUUCUCCCCGAAAGCUAUUUAGGUAGCGCCUCGUGAAUUCAUCUCCGGGGGUAGAGCACUGUUUCGGCUAGGGGGCCAUCCCGGCUUACCAACCCGAUGCAAACUGCGAAUACCGGAGAAUGUUAUCACGGGAGACACACGGCGGGUGCUAACGUCCGUCGUGAAGAGGGAAACAACCCAGACCGCCAGCUAAGGUCCCAAAGUCAUGGUUAAGUGGGAAACGAUGUGGGAAGGCCCAGACAGCCAGGAUGUUGGCUUAGAAGCAGCCAUCAUUUAAAGAAAGCGUAAUAGCUCACUGGUCGAGUCGGCCUGCGCGGAAGAUGUAACGGGGCUAAACCAUGCACCGAAGCUGCGGCAGCGAACGUAUCACCCAAGACAACUUUACGGAGUUGACGAUUGACGGAGCGAAGCGACGUCAAAGCGUUCAUUAAAGUCGAGUUGGCUUAGGGAUACGUUCGUUGGGUAGGGGAGCGUUCUGUAAGCCUGUGAAGGUGUGUCGUGAGGCAUGCUGGAGGUAUCAGAAGUGCGAAUGCUGACAUAAGUAACGAUAAAGCGGGUGAAAAGCCCGCUCGCCGGAAGA
rnacentral:rRNA from 1 species